rnacentral:rRNA from 1 species
GAUGAACGCUGGCGGCGUGCUUAAUACAUGCAAGUCGAGCGAACAGACGAGGAGCUUGCUCCUCUGACGUUAGCGGCGGACGGGUGAGUAACACGUGGAUAACCUACCUAUAAGACUGGGAUAACUUCGGGAAACCGGAGCUAAUACCGGAUAAUAUAUUGAACCGCAUGGUUCAAUAGUGAAAGACGGUUUUGCUGUCACUUAUAGAUGGAUCCGCGCCGCAUUAGCUAGUUGGUAAGGUAAAGGCUUACCAAGGCAACGAUGCGUAGCCGACCUGAGAGGGUGAUCGGCCACACUGGAGCUGAGACGCGGUCCAGACUCCUACGGGAGGCAGCAGUAGGGAAUCUUCCGCAAUGGGCGAAAGCCUGACGGAGCAACGCCGCGUGAGUGAUGAAGGUCUUCGGAUCGUAAAACUCUGUUAUUAGGGAAGAACAAAUGUGUAAGUAACUAUGCACGUCUUGACGGUACCUAAUCAGAAAGCCACGGCUAACUACGUG